UUCGGGAUAGGUAGUAGUUAAGGUGAUGGCUUAACUAGCCAAAAAUUUUUGUAGUCGAAUNUGAAAGGUUGAUCGACCACAUUGGGUNUGAAAAAAUCCCAAUGCAAGUUAGUACAGCAGUGAGGAAUCUUGGUCAAUGGCCUAACGGCUGAACUGGCAACUUGGAGAAGUGGCAAGUCCUAUUUUGAUUAUAUCNUUGUAUAUAAUCUAUAGGAUUGUAUUAAAAUUGAAUAAAGCUUUGUUUAUAUAUUGAUAAUGACAGUAUAUAUAUCGUGUCUUGACUAAUUACGUGCCAGCAGUCGCGGUAAUACGUAAGAGACUAGUGUUAUUCAUCUUAAUUAGGUUUAAAGGGUACCUAGACGGUCAAUAUAGCUUCUAUAAUGUUAGUACUUGACUAGAGUUUGAUGUAAGAGGGCAGUACUUGAGGAGGAGAGAUGAAAUUCUAUUAUACCAAAGGGACUCGGUAAAGGCGAAGGCAGCCCUCUAUGUAAAAACUGACGUUGAAGGACGAAGGCACAGAGCACAAACAGGAUUAGAUACCCAA
rnacentral:rRNA from 1 species